AGUGAACGCUGGCGGUAGGCCUAACACAUGCAAGUCGAACGGCAGCACAGUAAGAGCUUGCUCUUACGGGUGGCGAGUGGCGGACGGGUGAGGAAUACAUCGGAAUCUACUUUUUCGUGGGGGAUAACGUAGGGAAACUUACGCUAAUACCGCAUACGACCUACGGGUGAAAGCAGGGGAUCUUCGGACCUUGCGCGAUUGAAUGAGCCGAUGUCGGAUUAGCUAGUUGGCGGGGUAAAGGCCCACCAAGGCGACGAUCCGUAGCUGGUCUGAGAGGAUGGUCAGCCACACGAGAGCUGGGACAGGGACCAGGCUCCUACGGGAGGCAGUAGUGGGGAAUGGGGGACAAUGGGGGCGAGCCUGGUACAGCCAGAGCGAGUGGGAGAAAAAGACCUUCGGGUUGUAAGGCCCGUUUGUGGGGAAAGAAAAGCAGCAGGUUAGUACCCCGCUGUACUGACGGUACCUAAAGAAUAAGCACCGGCUAACUACGUG
rnacentral:rRNA from 1 species